ensembl:snoRNA SNORD9 small nucleolar RNA, C/D box 9
CCCCUGUGAUGAGUUGCCAUGCUAAUACGGAGACACCAGGUAGGGAGUUUUACCCUGCAUUGGGUGUCGUUGAAAUAAACUCUUUCUCGUAAAUGCUGAGGGGC